rfam:Octopus bimaculoides Scaffold265999_contig_1, whole genome shotgun sequence.
GGGGAAUUAGCUCAUUUGGUAGAGCGCUCGCUUUGCAUGCGAGAGGUGCCUGGAUAGAUACCCGGAUUCUCCA